AGUGAACGCUGGCGGUAGGCCUAACACAUGCAAGUCGAACGAACUCUUCGGAGUUAGUGGCGGACGGGUGAGUAACACGUGGGAACGUGCCUUUAGGUUCGGAAUAACUCAGGGAAACUUGUGCUAAUACCGAAUGUGCCCUUCGGGGGAAAGAUUUAUCGCCUUUAGAGCGGCCCGCGUCUGAUUAGCUAGUUGGUGAGGUAAAGGCUCACCAAGGCGACGAUCAGUAGCUGGUCUGAGAGGAUGAUCAGCCACAUUGGGACUGAGACACGGCCCAAACUCCUACGGGAGGCAGCAGUGGGGAAUCUUGCGCAAUGGGCGAAAGCCUGACGCAGCCAUGCCGCGUGAAUGAUGAAGGUCUUAGGAUUGUAAAAUUCUUUCUCCGGGGACGAUAAUGACGGUACCCGGAGAAGAAGCCCCGGCUAACUUCGUGCCAGCCGCCGCCAUAA
rnacentral:rRNA from 1 species